UCAGAGAUGAAUCACAAAUC
rnacentral:misc_RNA from 1 species